CCUUUACAAAACUGGCAAAGUUCUGCCUCCUUCCUCAUGGAAAGGGCUCUGGUGAAGGAAUUCCUCACCCCUGGUGGAUUAUCACUGUAUUGCAUGUAUCUAAUUGUAUACAUCAGGUUUUUCAAG